CCUACGGGAGGCAGCAGUGGGGAAUAUUGCACAAUGGGGGGAACCCUGAUGGUGCGACGCCGCGUGGGGGAAUGAAGGUCUUCGGAUUGUAAACCCCUGUCAUGUGGGAGCAAAUUAAAAAGAUAGUACCACAAUAGGAAGAGACGGCUAACUCUGUGCCAGCAACCGCGGUAAUACAGAGGUCUUAAGCGUUGUUCGGAAUCACUGGGCGUAAAGUGUUCGUAGGCUGUUUCGUAAGUCGUGUGUGAAAGGUGCGGGCUCAACCCGCGGACGGCACAUGAUACUGCGAGACUAGAGUAAUGGAGGGGGAACCGGAAUUCGCGGUGUAGCAGUGAAAUGCGUAGAUAUCGAGAGGAACACUGGUGGCGAAGGCGGGUUCCUGGACAUUAACUGACGCUGAGGCACGAAGGCGAGGGGAGCGAAAGGGAUUAGAUACCCUUGUAGUC
rnacentral:rRNA from 1 species